CCUACGGGAGGCAGCAGUGGGGAAUAUUGCACAAUGGGCGAAAGCCUGAUGCAGCGACCGCCGCGUGAGCGAAGAAGUAUUUCGGUAUGUAAAGCUCUAUCAGCAGGGAAGAAAAAUGACGGUACCUGACUAAGAAGCACCGGCUAAAUACGUGCCAGCAGCCGCGGUAAU
rnacentral:rRNA from 1 species